GUGUCAGCCGCCGCGGUAAUACGAACUGUGCGAACGUUAUUCGGAAUCACUGGGCUUACAGGGUGCGUAGGCGGCCUUCCAAGUCAGGUGUGAAAUCCCCCGGCUCAACCGGGGAAUGGCGCUUGAAACUGGUUGGCUUGAGUCAGCUAGAGGUACACGGAACUUCCGGUGGAGCGGUGAAAUGUGUUGAUAUCGGAAGGAACACCAGAGGCGAAAGCGGUGUACUGGAGCUGGUCUGACGCUGAGGCACGAAAGCCAGGGGAGCGAACGGGAUUAGAUACCCCCGUAGUCC
rnacentral:rRNA from 1 species